rnacentral:rRNA from 1 species
GAUGAACGCUGGCGGCGUGCCUAAUACAUGCAAGUCGAGCGAACGGACGAGAAGCUUGCUUCUCUGAUGUUAGCGGCGGACGGGUGAGUAACACGUGGAUAACCUACCUAUAAGACUGGGAUAACUUCGGGAAACCGGAGCUAAUACCGGAUAAUAUUUUGAACCGCAUGGUUCAAAAGUGAAAGACGGUCUUGCUGUCACUUAUAGAUGGAUCCGCGCUGCAUUAGCUAGUUGGUAAGGUAACGGCUUACCAAGGCAACGAUGCAUAGCCGACCUGAGAGGUUGAUCGGCCACACUGGAACUGAGACACGGUCCAGACUCCUACGGGAGGCAGCAGUAGGGAAUCUUCCGCAAUGGGCGAAAGCCUGACGGAGCAACGCCGCGUGAGUGAUGAAGGUCUUCGGAUCGUAAAACUCUGUUAUUAGGGAAGAACAUAUGUGUAAGUAACUGUGCACAUCUUGACGGUACCUAAUCAGAAAGCCACGGCUAACUACGUG